CGGCCCUGAGGGGAAAGGUGCCCUGGGUGCCUUAAGCCUGAGCGUGGCACCUUGGCCUGCUUCACGUAGAAAAAUAAUUAGUUUUCUGCCGGAGGAUGAGAUGCAUUUCCCACUAAAGAUGUCCAUUUUUCCUCAGUGCUUACAAAGUCAGCCCAGUGUGACUCAGACACAGACAUUUCACAGGUUCACACUUAGCGUUAGGCCAGACACAUUUUAUUCUCGGUGACCAUAGUUGUCAAUAUAACAUUGGCAUUAUAACAUUUAGGAUCAGAAACCUGUAGAGGGCAGCCCUUUGCCUGUUCCUUCCCCUCAGUUGCUGCAGAGCUGCCCUUGAGGACACACAAAGUAGCUGAAUAUGAGCAUAACGCCCACUAAGCUCUCAAUCGAAGAAACAAAACACCUUUGUAAAAAGGCUUUCCUUUUCUCUUGCAUUGUUUAGAUAUAGCUUACUUGCUAUAUAUUAAGGUUGCUAUUGCAAAUGAUAGCUGUAUGUUAUGCUUUCUGCAGAAUAUGUAACCAAUUAAUAAUGCCCUGGAGUGUCUGCACAUUUUCCUACUUCCUUAAUGUCUGCCAGGGCAGGAAGGAAACCCUGCAAUGAUAGUUGUAAGGUGUAUGUGCAAGCAGUUAUUGCGUGUACAUUUGUUACCACCUAGCCUAAGGCUGGUGGAAUGGAUGAGUGAAUGUUUUGUUGCUGCUUCACUGUAUAUCGCCUCUCCCGAGCCACACUAGCUUCUGGUAGCUUUGCUUUCCUUGGUUAUUAAGAAGCAGCCUUGUUUUAUAGAGCCAGGCAUGCUGAAGGGUGAAAUGGCUUUGUGACAUUGUUGUAAGAAGUGAGGCUUGACCGGUACUGCUGUGCCACGGCAUGUCAAGCCAAUCCUUGUCAGAUAAGAUGGACAAAGGUGUGAGACCUACUCCUCAGGCUUCCUUGAAACUGAAAAUCUAAUAUAAUCACCUGACUGUUGGAAGAGGAGCUGUAAGAAAUGUCUUGUGUAAAACCCCCCAAAUUGGUAACAUCUGUCAGCCUGCUCAACAGGGAUUGCAUCUCUUGGUUGCUGCUCAAGAAAAACAUAGCAUCUGAGGCAGGGAAUAAUGGAGUGGUACAUACUGAAGAAGAAUCACACAGUACAAACUCCAGAAGAGAACUGAGCACUCCCAAAAUCCCCCACAUUUAACUUACUUAAUCUUUCUAACGCUUUCUGGGACACAAAGUUUUAAAUCUCUCUGAUUUUCACCAGCAUGCCCAGAUUGUUACUUCAUAAACAGAGCCUAACCUUUUAGUUUAUACACACCCAAGCUGGCUAAACAUGAUUGAUUUCUCUUUAUGGGUUCAGGAAAAACACAAAACAUCCCUUCACCUCUGUUUUGUUUUUCUGAAUCUGUAGAGACUCUAGGGUCCAUUAUCAGCAAUGCAAGGACACAGAUUUUAUCUGGUAGUUGGAGAAAAGUAGCAAGACUUUGCUCAACCUUGCUCACCUUUUACUUCACUAGCUGCAACCUAAGGUGAGACGUGUUUCACAUAUAUUAUUAUAUCAAAUGAUGGGUUUGCAAUGAAGCAACUGAAAAAUAUUAUAAAAGGGUAACAGUCUAAAAAUGGUUGUUAGACUCAGAAUAUAAGUUACAGUGCAUUAGAAACAAAUCUGUAGUGUGAAGUCUCAAAGGGCUUUUUAUUUAUCUUUAGAAACUCAGUGUUAACAAACACCUGCUCUAAAUUUUGUUUGUUAUGAUAGCAACUGCUGCUAUCAUGGGAAACAUUACAAAAAUAACUUCACUCAAAGAGCUCCUUUGUAUGAGAAAGUGCAUAUUUUCCCCAGCAAUUUUUGCUAAAAUAUGCAAAAUACCAUAGCAAUCUUAAUGACUAUAUCCCUACUUAAUGUGCUAGCAUAAAAAAUAACUUUGCAUGUUUCUGUUUGCAGAAAAACAAACUUUUCCAUUUUUCUCUGUGUAUAUUUUUUGUUGUUUUGUUCUGUUUUGUUUUGUUUUUUAAUGGAAGAAACUGAUAACAGCUAUAGAAGUUCAGUAUCAUUAUCCUUUCAGAUAAUAAUUUUAAGGAAUGUUAUGAACUAUUGGAGGGAAAAAUGCCAUUGCUAAUGGAUCAUGUACCUACAACUACAAAAUUACAGAGCAAAUGGAUUCUUGUUUUCAGUUGCUCUAAGCACAACACUAAGACAAUUCUGUUGUACACAGAAUAAAUAAUAAGCUUCAAGUAACUGACAUUUACUAGUAUGUCAUAGAAUCAUUUUUACAGUCGUAGCUGAAACGGCAUUUGCUAAGUUGCUUUCACAGAGCAGGCUUUUCCUUCUGAUAGAUUCCCUACUUCUCAAAGUAUAAUUAAUCUUCCUGUAAAAGCACUGAUCCUAAUCUUUAGUCUGUGUUAAGAUGACUAGAGAUUCCAGUUUUAAUUAUGAAGUCCUUUAUCUUAAUACUCUGCAGAGAUGCCCAUUUGACCCCAUUCCACUUUUGUUUCAUUUGCUCUGUGGCACAUGAUCACCAUGUAAAAGGAAUAGCACAUGGUCAAAGGGCUCUGUUCAGAGGUGACUUACAUGCUGCCUGCUGCCAGAUAUAAUGUAGAUUGCACUAAAAAAAUCAAUAUAUUUCUGCUUUGUAACUUAUAUUGCAUGAUUAUUUUUUGAAGUAGGUUAUUCAUUGUACCACAGAGCAGUCUUUUGGCACCAGAACCUUCAAACCAAUUAUGGAAAUGGAGAAAGAAUAUACUGCAGAUUUGGUCCUGCCCAGAAGAGGUGUUGGAACCCUUCUUAUUGGAAACAUCGGUGAAAAAUUAUCAAAAGGAAAGAAAGAAAAAUAGGACAAUCUACUUUCCUUUAACAGGCACUGUGUUUUGUCUGAUAAAAGGCAUAAGACCAAAGGGCAGAAGCAGGCCAUUUCUUUUAUCAGUAGGGUAUGCUGUGAAAAACAAAACUUGAAGCACAAGCAAACAGAAUUGCACCACCAGUAAUGAAGAGAGGGGGCACACGAGGAUGGCAGAUGCUACUUUCUUCGCAGUCUUGAAGAGGGCUGUCUGCCUUGUCGUUAUUUCUUGCCAAGGAUUUUGCAAGCUACUGCUUCAACUGGAUAUUUUCUCUUAUUACUCCCAGGAUCUCUUUGGGAAUUGCAGCUGGCAUCCUUGUUCACUGCCAGAGUAUGUGGUAGCUCUUUCACUUGGUACUCUCAGGCACUCUCUUCACAUCCUCUGAAAAAAAAUUGUUCUCGGAUUAACAUGAUUGUGUGUCCAAGGCCUAAUUGUCAUUCUGGAGUGAUGAACAACACAGCUUCAGGGAAAAAAGUUCCGGAGUGGGAUAUGGACCAUAGUACACUACAUGUGAUGUAAAGAACUAUUAUCAUCUCCCUCACCUGCUUGCCUGUCUUAUAAUUAAAAAAAAUAAUUAUAUGUAUCUGGAAGAAAUAAUUAAAAUGGAGAUAAUAUUUAUUGCCAUUGCUGGUGAUACUGGCAUGACAUAUUAGGGUGUUUAUGUAUCUUUCAAAAAAUGGUUUGUGAUUCUUUUAUGUCAGAUAAGUGAUGAGGCAGGUGUGAUUCCUAGGCAAAACAGACCCCUGCAAAUUGAAUCACAGUACCAAGGUAAGACUGUCAUUGUGCAAGCCUCUUCUGCCCUGAAGCUAAUGUGUACAAUCUGUUUUUGCAAGUGCUUUCAUAUUUUUGUUAUUUAUUAUAAACAUAUACAGCACGUAAGUGUUUUUAUUAUUGGCUGACUUUGGUAUUUUGUAGUCACGAUUGUGGUAUUUAAACAGGAGAUGAUCUGUUCUGCACAUGGAAAAGGGGCUGUGUUAUGGAGGAAAUAAUUUAAAAAAGUGUUGCAAUUUUUUGGCAAGAGGGUGUUAUGAUUAUAUGUCAAAGAAUAUACCCGAUGUUCAUUAUGUUCAUGCACAAACCCAUGGCGAUUUGUAUCUGAUUUCUAGUCUGUACCUAGGGAGCAUUGUCUUUGUGUUAGAAAUGCAAGUAUGCUAUUAAUUUGUAAAGUUCUUACAUGUAUAUAGUCUCAUCUAUUUCUUUUUUAGCAGAUGUAUAAUAUUGCUUCCCAAUUUCACCCUAAGAGCUAUGAUUACUUAGAUUAAAUGACGAAUGUCACUUUAAUAGCAACUUUUGUAAAUAAUGGAGAUCUUUUUAUAAACCUUCAUCAUAUUAACUUUAUAUUAAUAUCCAAAAUGCAUUUGGUAUGAUAAAACAGCACAUUGCCAUUGGUUAAGAAAACUCCUUUCAAAGAAUUUGCCUGGCAGUGAUUUUUAGAACACAUUUCAAGACUUUCCGAAAGUCUUGAAAUCAAGCAUGACAUUAUUGUGUUAUAAAAAUGUGUUUGGUGAGGGACACAUAGUUAUUUUCAGUUUCCAGAUGAAGCAGAGAUGAUAAUUUAUCUCCAGUCACUGCUAGAAAAAAUUUUUAGACACUUAUAGACUGCGGGCUUUUUUUUUCUUCUCCUGCUGCACCAUUGUUGUACGGAGAGAUUAUUUUUACAGGAGAUGUUGUGUCCAGGAUAUACAUAUCUAGCUGAAAGUUGUCUCAAGGUAGGAAAACUCCUGAAACAUUCAUCCCUCACAUCUCAGGGGUAUGAUUUCCAGGCAAAUGCUCAGCUUUAGAAAUUGUGCAUCACAGCACUGUGCAUGUAUAUAUUGGAACACGAAAUGCCAAGUAUAA